rnacentral:sRNA from 1 species
UGUGGACAUACACAAAAUGUGUGUCCACGAGACAGCGGUUUUCUAUUGGUCCACGUCACUAAUUGUUUAUAUUCACUAAUUUUUAUUUUGUAAUAACAAAAACUUAUGUAAAUUUAGUAAUGACGUGGACCAAUAGAAAACCGAUGUCCUGUGGACACACAUUUUGUGUAUGUUCACA